rnacentral:rRNA from 1 species
UAGGGAAUCUUCGGCAAUCGACGAAAGUCCGACCGAGCAACGCCGCGUGAGUGAAGAAGGUUUUCGGAUCGUAAAACUCUGUUGUUAGAGAAGAACAAGGACGUUAGUAACUGAACGUCCCCUGACGGUAUCUAACCAGAAAGCUACGGCUAACUACGUGCCAGCAGCCGCGGUAAUACGCAGGUGGCAAGCGUUGUCCGGAUUUAUUGGGCGUAAAGCGGGCGCAGGCGGUUUCUUAAGUAUGAUGUGAAAGCCCCCGGCUCAACCGGGGAGGGUCAUUGGAAGCUGGGAGACUUGAGUGCAGAAGAGGAGAGUGGAAUUCCAUGUGUAGCGGUGAAAUGCGUAGAUAUAUGGAGGAACACCAGUGGCGAAGGCGGCUCUCUGGUAUGUAACUGACGCUGAGGCUCGAAAGCGUGGGGAGCAAACAGG